ACGAUUAAUCGACCUCUGAUCGAACUAAUCGUCCAUAUAAUCAUCCAACAUAUAGCAGGACUACAUAUCAUAUAUGUAUAUAGUGCAGUAGGGAAGAGGGAGGAGGAAGCAGACAACAGGGAAGAGGGAGGAGGAAGCAGCAACUGGCUGCUUGGAUUGGAACUGGAAGGGAGGGAGGAGGCUCAGCAGCUCAGUAGAUGCACAAGAAGCAAGCUCAGCAGCUGAAGGCUGGAGUUGGGAGUGAGGACAGAGGAAAGAGAGAGUGGGGGUGAGGUAUAUAAGAGAAACUCUAAUGGGCUUGGCCCAAAUAAAUAUAGCCCAAGCCAAAAGCAGCCCAUCUGCCAAUUUAGCUCUGAUCAGCCAAGAGGCCUGAUCGGACGAUUAAUCGGACGAUCAGGUUUCUGAUCGUUCUGAUCGAAUCGGAGGCCCUAAUCGAGUGCUAAGUACCGAUAAGGACGAUUAAUCACGAUUAAUCGGACGAUCAGAAUACACAUUUUGUUAUUUGCAGUACAAUGUUAAUAGUAAUUUAUAGAACCCAUGGUAGGCAGCAGCUCUCUGUGCCUUGACGAACGGAGGUUGUAGUGGUGAGAGAUCGGUGGGCGAGGCUUGAACGUCACGCGGCGGCGAGGUGCCGUGGUCGCGUGGAGGAGAGGAAGAGGGAAGGGGCGAUGGCUAGGGUUUUGCAGGGAAACUCCCGGCUCCCUAAAGGAAGCCGAGUAAAUAAUACUCUUGUUUAAUCUGUCCAAUACGAUUACAACUCAUAUAUAUAACUAUUUGAUCUACCAAUUAAGGAAAUAACUUUUAAGAAUAAAUAUGGGAAAUAAAUAUGGGCUGUCAGCCCCUAUCCCUGCGCCUAAUCUUAGCCACUACUGGCCCGCCUCCUGGCAUAUUGGAUGCCGGUCAUAACAUCUCUCCCCGCCUGCACAAACAGCUCGUCCUCGAGCUGGAAGUCGGGGAACUGCUCGCGGAACUCCGGAAGGGACUCCCAAGUAGCUUCGUCGUCGGUAAGGCCGUGCCAUUUGACCAGCAGAUGCCACUCACCGCGCCGCUGCUGAGCUUGCAGGAUGCGCUCGGGAGUGGACAGAUGCCUGCCAUCCAGGACAGGGGGCAGCACGCCGACUGCUGCAGGGGGGUCGCCGCGGUGGGGCUUGAGCAGCCCCACGUGGAAGACGUCAUGAAGUCGUGCGCCCUCCGGGAGCUGUAGACGGUAGGCCACCGCACCGAUGCGUUCCACAACACGGAACGGACCGGCGAACUUGGGACCGAGCUUGCGCCGCGCCCAGCAAAUUCCACGUUGCGCCGAGGAGCAGGCGUAGAUAGACCCAAUCCCUGACUGCAAAUUCCACGUCGCGAUGCCCAGCGUCGUAGUACCGUUUGGACAGCGCCUGAGCUUGGAGAAGGCGCUGACGCACCUCAGCCAAGAUCAGAUCCCGGUCCCGAAGAAGCGCUGCGGCAGCCUCGGAGCGAGUGGAUCCGGGCUGGUACGGUAGGAUAGGCGGUGGGGGCCUGCCGUAGACCACCUCGAAUGGUGUAGCGCGCAACGCCGUGUGGAACGAAGUGUUGUAGCAAUACUCGACCCACGGCAGCCAAUCCACCCAUGCGCGCGGCCGGUCACCUGUGACACAACGAAGGUACAUGGCAAUCACCUUGUUAACCACCUCGGACUGGCCGUCCGUCUGAGGGUGGAACGCUGUGCUCAUGCGCAGCUUGAUGCCUGCGCAUCGGAAGAGGUCGCGCCAAACAUGCCCGGUAAACACCGGUCCCUGUCACUGACGAUGGAGGAGGGGAACCGUGUAGCCGAACAAUGCCGUCGAAGAAGGCACGGGCGACGGAUGCGGCGGUGUAGGGGUGGCCGAGCGCGAUGAAGUGCGCGUACUUGGAGAAGCGGUCAACGACCGUGAGAAUGACGGACUUGCCGCCCACCUUGGGCAGCCCCUCGACGAAGUCCAUCGAGAUGUCCGCCCAUACCUGCGAGGGCACCUCCAGCGGCUGCAGUAGGCCAGCGGGCUGUAAUGUCAGGUGCUGUCUUGUUGCGCUGACAGGUGCUGCAGCGGAGCACCCAGUCCUGGACCAGCGCACGGUCGCCCGGGAUGUAGAAAUCAGUACGCAGGCGGUGGAGCGUCUUUUGCACGCCUUCAUGGCCGGCCAAAUGGGCCAGCAGCAACGCCUGGUGGCGCGAUCAGCGUGGUCCGGAACGAAGAUCCUGCUGCCAUGUAGCAGCAGGCCACUGUCAAGACGCCAGGGAGCAGCCAGCGCCCCAUCGGCCAGCUGCUGGAGCAGGCGCUAGGCGUCCGCGGCCUCCCUGGUGGCUCUGCGCACGUCGUCGAGGAAGGCGAACGAAGGGCCCGAGAGAGCACACACGGCCGCACCAUCCUGACUUGGAGCCUCCUGCUCUGUGUCGCGGCGAGACAAGGCGUCGGCCACCGUGUUGAGGCGGCCAGGACGGUACUCCACCGUGAAGUCGAAGCCGAAGAGCUUGCUAAUCCACUGAUGCUGAGGCACCGUGGACAAGCGCUGAUCUAAGAGAAACUUUAAACUGUAAUGGUCAGUGCGAAUAAGAAAGUGCCGUCCCCAAAGGUACGGCCGCCAAUGGCGCACAGCUUGCACCAAACCGAUGAGCUCGCGUUCGUAAGCUGCGAGCUUGAGAUGGCGAGCUGCGAACGGACGGCUGAAGAAAGCGAGAGGUCCGGCGCCUUGGUGAAGUACUGCACCGAACCCAACACCCGACGCGUCGCAGUCCACCAUGAACAGCUUGUCGAAGUCAGGCAUCUGGAGCACAGGCCCGGUGGUGAGGGCGCGCUUCAGUGCCUGGAAGGCCUCCUCAGCCUCUGUGUCCCAGUCGAACACGUCUCGCCGCAAGAGACACGUCAGGGGGGCCGCAAUGAGCCCGAACUCCUGGAUAAACUUCCGGUAGUAGCCCGCCAAGCCCAGGAAGCCACGCAGCCCCCUGGCCGAUCGUGGGGAUGGCCAUGCCGCGACGGCAGCCACCUUGUCGGCGUCCAUGGCGACGCCACCAGCUGAGAUGACGUGGCCCAAGUAGGCCACUGACGUCGCCCCGAACGAACACUUCGAGCGCUUAAGGUGGAGGUGGUGCGCCCGAAGCUCGUUGAGGACGAUGGCGAUGUGCUGCAGGUGCUCCGCCCAUGACGAGCUGUAGAUGAGAAUGUCGUCAAAGAAAACCAGCACGAACCUCCGCAAGUAGAAGCGCAACACGUCGUUCAUCAGCGCCUGAAACGUUGCCGGCGCGUUGGAGAGCCCGAACGGCAUGACCAGGAACUCGUAGUGGCCAUGGUGCGUGCGGAAGGCCGUCUUGGCGACGUCAUCGAGGUGCAUCCGCACCUGGUGGUAGCCCGACCGCAAGUCGUGGUGGUAGCCCGACCGCAAGUCGAGCUUAGUGAAGAAACGCGCCCCAUGGAGCUCGUCGAGGAGCUCGUCCACCACCGGAAUCGGGAAUUUGUCCUUGGACGUCUUGGCGUUGAGGGCACGGUAGUCGAUGCAGAACCGCCACGACGCGUCCGCCUUACGGACCAACAACACCGGUGUGGAGAACGGUGAAGUGCUUGGCCGGAUGAUGCCCUGGGCGAGCAUGGCCUCGCACUGGCGCUCCAGCUCGUCCUUCUGCAGCUGGGGGUAUCGAUAUGGUCGAACGGCGACCGGCGGCGUGUCCGGCAGCAGGUGGAUGCGGUGGUCGUACGGCCUCGCCGGGGGAAGUCCGCGCGGCUCCUCGAAGAUGGCUGCGUGCUGCUCAAGGAGGGUGUCCAGCAGGGGCUGCUGGGCGGCUAGAGCAGCCGUCGUGGCCUGCUGGGAGGGCGCAGGGGUGUCAGCCCCGCCCACGCCCUUCCAUUGGAUCCCACAUCCGCCACGCCAGAACGCCAUGGUCUUGGCCUCCAAGUCCCACGUGAUGGGGCCGAGCGUGCGCAGGAAGUCGUAGCCGAGGAUGAAGUCGAAACAGCCCAAGUCGAUGUCGGCGCAUGUGAUGGCGAAAGUCUCGCCCUCGAUGGAGAUGGGGACGUUCCGGGCGAUGCCGGCGCAGCGUAGUUUGUCCCCAUUGGCCACCGUGACGCGCAGUUGGUCCCCGCCAUCUGGGACCAAGCCAAGGCGCUCCAUAAUCGCUCCACUGAGGAAAUUGUGGGUGGAGCCCGUGUCGAGCAACGCCAGCACGCACUCCCCUUUGAUCAGCACUGGCAGCAACAUGGUGUUCGUCGUCCGAAUACCUGCAAAAGCAUGGAGGGAGACUGCCAGGACGUUAGCAACCUCUUCUUCCGGGGCGGCGGCCUCCUGCAGAGCUGGCGCGGCCACAUCUCCCUGUGGCUGCACGGCUUCCUCAAUGUAGUCGUCGGCUGCCAGGUAGAGAAGGCGCUGGCACACAUGGCCCGAGGUGUAGAGUUCAUCGCAGUUGUAGCAGAGCCCCUGGCGGCGACGUUCUUGCUGCUCUGCCGAUGUUAGGCGUCGGAACGCGCGCCCGCCUGGGGCGCCUGCACCUGCUGCUGGGGGAACGGCAGCCGGCCCUGCUCCUGGCGCACGUGCUGCUGGAAGGCCCGGCCGCUGCGCUGGUCGGGCGGGCAGGGGGCGCCGGAGGGGUCGCAGCCGCCCGUCGCUCGAAGGCACGUGCGUAGUAUAUUGCUGCCUGCAGGUCCUGCGGGUGGUGCAUCUCAACAUCCACCCGGAUAUACUCCGGAAGGCCGCCGACAAAGAGCUCAGCCCGCUGACGUGUUGAGACGUCCGGUGCAUGGCAGGCGAGAGCCUGAAACCGAUCGGCGAACUCUUGGACAGAGGUGGCGAAAGGCAGCCGCCCGAGCUCAGCCAGCCGACUGCCAUGCAGCGGCGGACCAAAGCGAAGGCGACAUAAAUCGCGGAAACGCUCCCACGGCGGCAUGCCCUCGUCUUGCUCCAAGGCAUAGUACAAGGUCUGCGCGCCCCCUCGAAGAUGGUAGGACGCCAGCCAGGUACGGUUGGACGCCGGCGUGCGCUGUACGCGGAAGAACUGGUCGCACUGAUUGAGCCAGUUCAGUGGGUCGACGGUGCCAUCGUACGUCGGGAAUUCCAACUUGUAGAACUUGACCUGGGGAUCAUAGCCGAAGGGCGGUUGGCCGCCCUGGCCGUCGGACGUGCCGAACGGUGGCGGACCGCCGUGGCCUCUGUACGUGCCACCAUGGUUGGGAGCGCCACCGUAGAACGGACCCCCUCUGUACCCCCCGGCGGCGGCGGCUGAGUAGGGGAGGGGCGACUGGAGCUGGGUGCCGUGGAAAAGCGGCCCGCUGGCACCACCGUAGAGCACCCCCGGCGCGGGGACACCCCCAUGGCCGGGCCCCAAGCUCGCCAAGGGCGGGGGGGGCAGCCAAGGCUGCGUCGGAGAGGACGUGUAGAUCGGCUGCGACUGGGACAGCCACGGUGGAAGCUCGGACGGAGAGGGCGGGAAUUGAAUCUGGGUGAUCGGCACCCCGCCCGACGGCCGUUGUACGGAUGAAUCCGGCGGCAUGCCGAACUGGGGCGCCCCCGUGGAUGACCCGAGUGUAGAGGACGGCGGCGGCGGCGGCGGCGGUAGGUGGUGCUGCUGGGGCGGUGGCGCCGGCUGAACAUAGGUGGAUGCGCCCAGGAAGGCGCGCAGCUCGGCCAUCCCGCGGCCCAGUUCGAAGAUCGCCUGCGUGACCUCCUCCGGCGUGAGGAUGACCCCUGGUCACGACGGCGCUGCGCCCGCAGCGAGGGCCCCUUCACUGAAGCCCUGCAGCAGCUGCGUCGAGGGAAUCAUGGCAGAAGAGGAGGAGGACGGCAGCGGCGCUGAUGUGGACGGCGGCGGAGCAGAGGUGGGCGGGGCACUUGCUGGUGGAGACGAAGAAGACGGAGGAAGCGACAUCGAACCAGAGAUCUCUGAUACCAAAUUGGUAGGCAGCAGCUCUCUGUGCCUUGACGAACGGAGGUUGUAGUGGUGAGAGAUCGGUGGGCGAGGCUUGAACGUCACGCGGCGGCGAGGUGCCGUGGUCGCGUGGAGGAGAGGAAGAGGGAAGGGGCGACGGCUAGGGUUUUGCAGGGAAACUCCCAGCUCCCUAAAAGAAGCCGAGUAAAUAAUACUCUUGCUUAAUCUGUCCAAUACGAUUACAACUCAUAUAUAUAACUAUUUGAUCUACCAAUUAAGGAAAUAACUUUUAAGAAUAAAUAUGGGAAAUAAAUAUGGGCUGUCAGCCCCUGUCCCUGCGCCUAAUCUUAGCCACUACUGGCCCGCCUCCUAGCAUAUUGGAUGCCGGUCAUAACAACCCAACACAAAAGUACAGGUAGUUUCUGUUUCCCCCAAUUUUUC
rnacentral:lncRNA from 1 species